CUCCUACGGGAGGCAGCAGUGGGGAAUAUUGGACAAUGGGCGCAAGCCUGAUCCAGCCAUGCCGCGUGAGUGAAGAAGGCCUUAGGGUUGUAAAGCUCUUUCACCGGUGAAGAUAAUGACGGUAACCGRRRRAGAAGCSCCGGCUAACUUCGUGCCAGCAGCCGCGGUAAUAC
rnacentral:rRNA from 1 species